AACCUACGGGAGGCAGCAGUGGGGAAUAUUGCACAAUGGGGGAAACCCUGAUGCAGCGACGCCGCGUGAGUGAAGAAGUAUUUCGGUAUGUAAAGCUCUAUCAGCAGGGAAGAAAAAAGACGGUACCUGACUAAGAAGCCCCGGCUAACUACGUGCCAGCAGCCGCGGUAAUACGUAGGGGGCAAGCGUUAUCCGGAUUUACUGGGUGUAAAGGGAGCGGAGACGGCGAUGCAAGUCUGAAGAGAAAGCCCGGGGCU
rnacentral:rRNA from 1 species